GCCCGGCUAGCUCAAUCGGAAGAGCGUGGGACUUUUAAUCCCAAGGUCGAGAGUUCGAGCCUCUCGUCGGGCG